rnacentral:misc_RNA from 1 species
AAAGUCGUAACAAGGUCUCCGUUGGUGAACCAGCGGAGGGAUCAUUACCGAGUUUUCAACUCCCUAACCCUUCUGUGAACCUACCUAUCGUUGCUUCGGCGGACUCACCCAGGCCGGACGCGGGCUGGCCGCCGGGGACCCUAAACUCUUGUAUUAUCAGCAUCUUCUGAAUACGCCGCAAGGCAAAACAAAUAAAUUAAAACUUUCAACAACGGAUCUCUUGGCUCUG